rnacentral:rRNA from 1 species
UACGUAGGGGGGCAAGCGUUGUCCGGAAUCAUUGGGCGUAAAGAGCGUGUAGGCGGCUCGAUAAGUCUGCUGUGAAAGUCCAGGGCUCAACCCUGGAAGGCCGGUGGAAACUGUCGGGCUAGAGUCCGGAAGAGGCGAGUGGAAUUCCCGGUGUAGCGGUGAAAUGCGCAGAUAUCGGGAGGAACACCAAUGGCGAAGGCAGCUCGCUGGGACGGUACUGACGCUGAGACGCGAAAGCGUGGGGAGCAAACAGG